GCCGAAAUAGCUUAGUUGGAGAGCGUUAGACUGAAGAUCUAAAGGUCCCUGGUUCAAUCGGGUUUUUGGCA
rnacentral:tRNA from 1 species